CAGUUCCUGACUCAAACGCUUCAAGGAGCAUUUCAUUAUCACCCUAUGAUUCAAAAAAAAGACCAAACCCAUUGCCAUUGAGUCGAUUCUGACUCAUAGCCAUCCUAUGAUAGUAGCCUUCUUUCCCCCACCCACUGCCCAAGACUCUUUCAGUCACAUCACCCUGUUUAUUACCUCAUAGUAUUCAUUACAACGUGAAAACGUCUGUUUGCUUUGUAUUACCUCUCUCCUCCAACGAAACUAUAAGCUCUAUAGAAACAGAGACUUUAUCUGUCUCUUUUAGACUCUGCUGUAUUUCCACACCUACAAGAACUGGGAACUAUCUGUGAAAUAAAUGAAUGACAAUGACUAUGCAAAUUAGUAGGCUGAAGAGUGUUCAUGAUCUGGAAAAUGAGGUUAGUUGAAAGGGUUUUUUUGGGUCAGGGUAAGUUCAUGGUAAGGAACUAAAAGGCUGAGUUGAUGAAGAUAUAAAUAAUCCAUGAUGAACUGCAUCAUAAAAAGUUCUUGAGAAAAGUAGACUGACUUAGUAAAGUAAGCGUGACUGUAUACAUGGAGAAUGUUUAUGCAAUACUGGAAAUUUAUAUCAAAGUAUUUAAAAUUUCAUCUGUGUAACUCUGUAAAUACACUCUUUGGUUUGGUGGAGGAUAGUAGCUAUGAUGUACCUUCCAAAAGACAUCUUGCAACUCAUUACCAUUCCUUCAGCUGCUGGCUCUACAUAAGGCUCUCUACUGUAGGAUUAACUUACUUAAGGAAAGCACAGCCUGAAAUACCAAGACCAGUCAAAGUAAGUAAAAAAGACGCUAUCUAGUAAUGCCUCGUUAUAUUGUUUGAAGAUUUUUCAGCCAGCAUAUACUUACGCAGUUUUUACAAAAACAGCAAAAGAAAAUAUGCAUCAACUUGAUGGAGAAUUAUGUAAGCAUUAAAUAGGCUAUCCAUCUAAAACAGAGAGAAAUAUUUAUGACAAAACAUUUAAAUGAAAAACACACAAGAUAGCAUUAAUAUUGCAGUAUUUUGAAUCUAAAACAGAUUUUGGAAUAUGACAAUCCUGAUCUAAAUCAUAUUUAGUUACUUACAAACUUUGGAAACCCUGGUGGCGUAGUGGUUAAGUACUAUGGCUGCUAAUCAAAGGGUUAGCAGUUUGAAUCCGCUAGGUGCUCCUUGGAAACUCUAUGAGGCAGUUCUACUCUGUCCUGUAGGGUCGCUAUGAGUUGGAAUCAACUCAAUGGCACUUGGUUUGGUUUUCUUUGGUUUUACGAACUUUAUGACCUUGAUCUUACUAAGUCUCUAUUUUCUCAUUUGCAAACUAGGAAUACCAGUAGUGCUAAUUCUGUCUAACAGGAACAAUUCUUUGAUAAACUGGAAUUUUUAAAUAAUUUUUAUAGUAAAAUUAUUAUACAAAAUUUUGUUGGAAUGCCCCAUUAAACAAAUUUAUGUGAAAGUCAUUUACUCAAAAAUUCUCACCUUCUUGCAACAGAUUUCACAUUUCAGAUUUAACUUUUGCAUCUCGUCAUUGAUGUACUGGUGCAUUGACUAAUAAUUCACUGCUGUGUUGUGAAGUGCUUUAUGGAACUUGGUAACUGUAUAAUCUUCCUGGUGAAUAUACUUAAAAAUUAAGACUGAGCAAUCGAGAUAAGGCACUAAUCAUUUAGAGAUGUAACGGCAGCUUUCGUUUUAUUUCCUUGCACUGCAUUCUUAGUUCAUCAGCUUAAGCUGCUUUCCUUGAGAAGAGAGUUUAAUUAAUUGAAGUUUUGUUAGGAUUUUGAGGAUAAUUAAGAGAAGUUGAGCUAUUAAUAGAGUAUGAAAGAAUAAAUAAUAAUAAGUCACAUAAAAGAGAAAAAGAAAGCAAAAUGAGGGAAGAAUGCUCAUGAAGAGUACAGGUGAAAUGGGAUGAUGUAGUCAAAUAAUGAAUCUGCAUGUAAUUUUCACAGACAACUGUGAUUCCCAAAGAUGUGAUAUGAUAUCUAUGAGUGAUAUUUGAUAUACUUGGUAGUUUUAUUUCAAUUCUAAAUCUAUAAAGUUUAUAAAUAUUAUUGGCCCUGAGGUAAUUUGACUUACUGUUGCUAGCUCACAAAUUCCUCUCUGAAGGCUAUGAUACAACAUACAUUACCAAGCUCUCCACUUGGCCACCAUGUUGUAGUGGUGAGAGGCCAUUGAUGAUAUCACAUUUGGCUAUAAAUAUUAACUAUUUGUUCCUGCAUCAUUGGCAACACUCAUUAAGUAUUAUAAAUACCAGGAGUAGUUUUUGCUGCUUCUUUAUAAGUUUAAUGGGAGAUUUAUAUUCCUUUACCUAGUGGUACUUUUAUUUACAAUUAGUGCUGCCAAUUUGAAAAAUUGUAAUAGUAGAUCCCAAUCUAUUUCUAUCCAGAUAAUUGGGGGUGGGAGUUAAUGCGUUUCUUAGUUGUAAGGCACAGAUAAUAUCAUUUUAGUUUCCCAUGCACUUGAUGCUUUUCAUGACUAACGAAGCUCAGCCACAAGUAAAAUAUUUCAGUCAAGAGUCAUGUCUUCACAUGACCCAAUUUUCCUGGGAUUUAGGAUUAUCUCAAAUGUCAGCAUCAGCACUGGAUCUGUCAUUGUGUAAGCAAAACGAAACCUAUAGCUCUUGACCUAUUGCUUGGAUCAUUGACAUAGGGAAGCGCAGCCAUGGGAACAGAAGCAGUUGUGUCUUUCACUGGGAAAAGUGAGCUAGAGGAAUAAAGAGACUGUUAGAAGAAAAGAGCUAUUGCAUGCAAAGCACUUAGCAGAGGGUCUAGCCCAUUAUAUAGACUCAAGUAUUAAAAAAAAAAAAGUUCUAAGUUUUAAAAAGCUGGACUAAAAAAAAAAAAGGAACGCAUUUGUCAGAACAUAAUCUCUAGUUUGAGGAGGAAGAAGAGGAGAUGGUUCCCAUCACUUAAAGUAUGUUUUGGGGGUUCCUUUUUAUUUUUUUUCAGGUUAGGGGGAGAGGAAAGGCUGUGUAACUGAUAGAACAGGGUGACCAGAAGCACUCUUUCUCCCUCAGCUUUGAGGAUACUCGAAAGAGAGACUGGAAAGAACCCAUUAUGAAAACGGCCUGGUCCUUCCUGAUAACAAGUCAAAAGUACAUGAGAUGAAGUCUCACCAUCCUUGUUUCUAAGUUAUAUUCUGGCUGUACUUCUUCCAAGACAGACUCGUUUGUUUUUCUGGCAGUCCAUGGUAGUAUAUUUCGUAUUCUUCAUCAACACCAGAAUUCAAAUGCAUCAAUUCUUCUUUGGUCUUCCUUAUUCAUUGUCCAGCUUUUGCAUGCAUAUGAGGCAAUGGGAAGGGUAAUAAAUUAGAAAUUUUUACUUAAAACAAAGAAAUAUUUAACGUCUAUUUUAAGGGACAAAUAAGUGUCUUGAACCUAUUCAUUGUGUUCUCUUUCUCUAAACAUAAUCUUAAAUAUUUCCAAAAAGUAUUAAUCACAUUUUUUAUACUUUCAAAGAGAAGGAAGGAACUCCGUCAAGAGAGAGGAAAGAUAUUUGUACAAUAACGCUGAUAUGAUAAUGGGUUUUUUUUCCCCAAAGGAAAAUAAUGGAAUCUUUUCCUUGGAAUUGUUAAUGAAAGAUCUUUCAUACCCCAAAGGAUGAUAGGGGAGAAUGUCCAUUUAAAUGCCUUUUAGAGUCCUAAACCAAAAAAAAAAAAAAAAAAAACCUGAACCCAGUGCCGUCGAGUCGAUUCUGACUCAUAGCGACCCUGCAGGACAGGGUAGAACUGCCCCCACAGAGUUUCCAAGGAGCGCCUGGCGGAUUCAAACUGCUGACCCUUUGGUUAGCAGCCCUAGCACUUAACCACUAUGCCACCAGAUUUUCCUUUAGAGCCCUAGUUCAGAAUAAUUUGAGUUACUAUCACCCAAUAUUGUGUUUUACUAAUAUGAUUUCCCAGUGUGUGUGUGUGUGUGUGUUGUAGUUUCUACAACAAAAUGUAUUUAGUUGCUUUGCCACUCUUCCCUCACAGAUUUGGACAGUGAAAAAGAAAAAACUAGAUAAAAAAUCUAAGUAGAACUCAAUGGAUAUUUGCAAUCAUGUGCCCUUUUUUCAAAAUGGCUGGGACUUGUCUAUAGUGACGUUUCUUUGUCAGUUUCUCUUUUUGUAUUACCGUAACCUUUUCUCUGCUAGGAUCAGUGUACUUCACUACUGGAAUUUUUAAAAAUAUUUAUUUAAAUAUUUUGAAUUAAUAUGUGUGUUGAUUUAUUUUAACACAUGAAAGUUGAAUUAGUAUCUAUAAUUUGGGCAGAGGAAUGCAUAUUCAUUAUCAAGGGUACAUAUUUAUGAUCUUAAGGAAUCCAUUAAAGGAAAUUUUAAAAGUAAUAUUACCAUAGUGGACUCCAUGGGUGGUACAAAUGGUUGUUGUGCUUGGCUGCUAACCAAAAGUUUGACUGUUUGAGUCCACCCAGAGGCACCUUGGAAUAAAGACCUGGAGAUCAGGCAUUGAAAAUCCUAUGGAGCAAAGUUCUACUCUGACACACAUGGGUCACUAUGAGUCAGAAGUGACCCAAGGGCACCUGGUUUGCUUUGAUUUUUUGGCAUUUUGUGUUUGUUUUUAUUACCAUAGUAAAAGUAAGUAAACAAAAAUCCAGCUCUACCCUAGGGUUCUUAUUGUUUUUAGUGGUCCACAAUGAACCAAUACCAGUUUCUUUUGCAAAUAUUUUUCUGAAUACUAACAAUAAUGAAAUUGUUCCACUGGUUUCCACUUCACUAAUGGGUUCUUUGGAGCUCUGGUGGUAUAGUGGUUAAGAGUUCAGUAGCUACCCAAAAGGUUGGCAGUUCGAAUCCACCAGCCACUCCUUGGAAACCAUACGGAGCAGCUCUAUUCUGCCCUGUAGCACCACUAUAAGUCAGAAUGGACUCAUGGGCAACUGGUUUGGUUUUUUGAUUUUUUAAACCAUUCUCAUAUCACAUCAUCUCUGAACCUUUCCAUUAAGUAUCUCUCUUAAGUUGACUUCAACACAUCCUGUUUCUGUGCAGAUAGUGGGGAGAGAGGAACUUGCACGUGUAAAAAGGCAAAAAGAGAGAGCCGAGGAAAUAAAAGGCUUUCAAGAAAGUAGAAAUUGCUAUAAAAAUCCCCAGCACUUUUUUUUUAAGAAUACUGUAAACAAUCUUUGUGAAUCAUCCAAACUGACUGUUAGUUGUAAUCCAGCAAAUCAUGUGUGAUGAGAAAUUGAGCUUUUAAAUGGAAAUAAAUGACUCGUGCUUUGUCAUAUUUUCUUACUUCUCUAACAAAACCGUGGAGAUUGUUCUUUGCAUCGAUGGCAUUAUGGUUUAGAGGAAGGAGCACUAGAAUUGGAAUCUAGAUCCUAGACCUCACUUUGUCCAAUGGUGUGACCUUGGACAAUGUAAUUCACAAGGUCUUACUUACUUUCUGAAGUUGCCUAAAAUUUCUAUCAUUAGAGAUUAGGGAAUAUAAAUUAUAUAAGAAUACAUAAGUCCAAACAUAUUAUCUUGAAGGCAAAAGAAAAAACAUGCCUGCUCUGGGCCCCUUCUCCGCAGACAUCAGUUUGGGUUGCUUUAUUGGAUCAUCAUGCUUGGUAAAGCAGAGAGCCAGUGAAAAAGAGAUGGAUUGACACAGUGGCUGCAACUAUGGGCUCAAGCAAUGAUCCUGAGGAUGGCAUGGGACUGCGCAGCGUUUCAUUCUGCUGUAUAUAGGGUUGCUAUGAGUCGAAACAGACUCGACGGCAUCUACCUACCUAACAAGAUCAUCAGAUCAGGAAGACAGAAAGCUCCACUGUGAUGGAUAGAAGCAUAGAGCAGAUGAAGUUGAUUGAAGCUGAGUGUAUCAGUCAAAGGAGAAACGUAAGGGAUUGUCCUGGUGUCCUUACGCUGCCUCUCUAUUUUCCAAGGCCACAGUUGGCUGAGGGACCUUGGAGCAACAUGACUCGAGAAGAGGUUAUUGAGAGAGAGAAGGACACUUGUCUGAAAGUGUCACUAGGAAACUAGGAGAAAGCUAUUGCCCUGAUUCUUUCAAAUAAUGUUCAGGAGUGAGGAUUAUAGCUGAAAUUGCAUAGGAAGAAAAGAAGGUUAAAUAUGGAAGCCUGGAAAACAAAAUAAAUCCAAAAAUGCUAUGUUCAUACAAGUAAUACCUGUUCAUAUUGAAAAGUUAAAAAGUACAGAUAUAAAAUAAGCUCAAUAGAGAUGAACACAAACAUAAGCACUGUUGAUAUUUUAAUGCACAUCAUUCCAGGCUUUUUAUACAUAAAUCGAUACAUAAAUACAUAUUUUUUAAAAAUAGACUUAUUCAAAAGUGUUAUCAGUUUUUAGGUUUAAUAGAAAUUGCUUUGCAUUGAUGGGAGAUUUUUUUGCUUUUUAAAAAGGACUUUUAGUUUGGAAGUCCUUGUGCUAUUCAAAUGUGCACAGCUGCAGUUGUAUAAAGUCUCAGAUUCUACUCUGUGUGUGUUGUACGUGCCAGACAGAUCUUAAUUGUAUAUUUUUUAGUAAAAUUCAUACAAUUCUGGAAGGUCAUUUUGAAAGAGUCAAGAAAUCAGGAUAGCCUUUUCUUUACUAUUCUUUUAAAAUCUAUUCAUCUCAUGUUAGUGUGACCUUUAGCUUUUCACUGAACAGGACUAUUUAAAACAAAAUUAAAACUCUUUGUGGUCUAUAGGUGCGUAAUCCUUGUAAUAUACAAAGCUUCAUAAUGCUGUUUUUAUUCAUCACAUUAACUAGCUGUAAAACACGGAACUGUAUCUAUACAGACGAUCUCGUGAUUCAUAUACAGAAAACUUAUGAAGUUAUGUAAUUCGAAAAGCACUGUUUCCUUACGAAGAGAUCUCCAGUUGCUUGUAAAGCUAACUAAUUUAAAAACAUAUAAAUGUUCUUGGGAAAUGAUGGGCUUAUAUUCUACAUACUACUUUGCAUCUUACUUUUAUUCUUUUACACAUACGAACAUCUUCUCUUUUUAUAAAUUAAACUGCAUCCUUAUCAAUUUUAACACCUCGCUAGCUUCCCUACUAGAAUAUUUAGGCUGUUUCAAAUUUUUGCUACUAGUGAUAGUAUGAAAAUAACCUUGUAGGUGAGCAGCCAUACAACAUUGUGGUUAAGGGCUUGAGCUCUGGAAUCAAAUUGUUUGGAUUUUAAUCUCAGCUCUUCAAAAUAACUUCAGGCAAAUUUAGUCCAGAAGCUCUGCCAAACCUGUUCAGGAUCAUGGCAAUAAGCAAGCCUCCACUAAUGGUGGAUAGUGGUUACGUGUGAGUUACACUGGCCAGGAAUGGAACCCAGGUCUCCCGCAGGGAAGGUAAGAAUUCUACCACUGAACCACCACUGUUAAGUUCCAUAAGCUUCAGAGUAAUGAAGGGAAAGUUUUGAAGAUUACCCCUUUUAAUGGAUGAUAAGAAAAGGAUCCACCAAAGGAGACUGAGAAAAGCCAGAAGGGUGAGAGGACAAUCAAGAGAGUGUAGUAUUGAUGAAGUCAAGGAAAGAAUUUCAAAGGGGAAAAGAGUGGUUUAGUGGUUAUAGAGCUAAAGCCAGAGGAGAACAGUAUUUACUUCAUAUUCUCAUCCAAAGACCUCAGCUCUCCUGCUCUCCUGCUCUCCUCCUCUCCUGGGUCCUUCCUCUGUGUCUGAAAACGGAGACAGUUCUCCCCUGAUCUUAGCUCCCUCCUUCCUUUCAAAGAAAUGUUAUGAAAAUGGAAAGGAAAUUUAAGUGUUAUAGCAUAUAUGAAAAUGCUUUGAAAUCUGUUAAACAUAUGUACGUGAUGAAAGUCAUGUGCAAGUUCACUGGAUAACUCUGACAUGUCUUCUUAAAGGAAAAGUUAUUGCAGCAUGGUCAAAGAUAGCCAAUGGAAGCCACCACCUUAGCAGAGGCAGCUAUUAAUAAGUGAAACGUUUCACCAGACUCUUCAGACUUCCUAUAUUUCAUCACCAAUGAUUCAUUCCUUAGUCUCUGAACCUUAGUUUCUCCUCUGCCUUAAUGCCACUACAACCAAGAUUGUUCCGGGAGUUAUCACAAAAGCUCAGUCUUUAAAAAGGUAGGUACAAAAAUACAGUGACAGUAGUAUAAAAUCAAGAACAAAUUUGGAGUUGUGGCUCAGCCUCUAUGAAAAAUGUCAGGAAUACCAAAGCUUUAAAUGAGGUUAGGUUUGAGAAAAAAAAAAGAAAGAAAGAAAUUAAAACUCAGAGAUAAUUAAGACAAAAGGAAUUAGUUAGCCUUAGAGAUGCUGAUAUAAUGUUUAACAGGUUAAAAAAAAAAAAGUGAAUUACAUGACUUCUGUUUGACUUUCUCCUUUUCUAGUAAGAAAAAGGUCUUCAAUAAAAAGCUUCAACACCUGAAAAAGUAAAACAAGCACAAUUAAGAAGGAACUGAAAUCCAUUUGAUCAGUGAGCAAUGAUAAAACAAUUUUGCUUGCAGAGAACGGGAGAGAUGGAAAAGGAAUGAAUAUAGGCUUGCCUUAAUUUAAAAACCAAGAAAAAUUCUGUGGACAAGGUUGCUUCGGACCCCCAGUUGUUGUUGUUAUUUGCUGUUGAGCUAUUGUGACCUGUCAGAAGCAGAUCACCAGGCCUGUCUUCCAGGACGAGGCACCUCUGGCUGAGGGGUUUAGUAACUGGGCACUUAACCAUUUUGGCCACCCAGGGACUCCAGUAGAACUUUCUAACAGGUUCAUUACCAUUGAACAGGGUGGGAGGCUUCCUGCUGAAGCUGGCUGACUAGGCAUAUGUGGUUACCUUUCACCAAAUCUCUCAGAAAUAUCAGAAAAGUAAAAUUAAAUAAAACUAAAUCUAAAGUUUUGGGAAAUUCAGAAGAGGGCUACUAAUAAUAGUCAACCAGAAGAAUGAGGAAUUUCUGAAAUACAUUGAUGCUGAAACAACAGAGCUGAGAUACCCACAAGUUCAGACUAGUGAAAGAGAACUUCCAAACUAAAAGUUUCCCAUCAGAAUUCUGCAAAAGCCUCUCAAUCAAAAUUAGCAGAAGGUGGUUGGAAGAAGUGAGCCCUGGGUCAGGGCCAGGUAACUAAUAAAGGGAGAGCUGAUCCUGGAGCCACCUAGGGACUGAUGCAGAUGUGUGCCCCAGCCUGUCUAUACCACUCCAAACCCAUUGCCUUCAAGUUGAUUUCAAUUCAUAGCAACCCUUAGGAAAGGGUAGAACUGCCCUGUAGGGUUUCCAAGGCUAUAACCUUUACAGAAACAGAUCACCACUUCUUUCUCUCACAAAGCUGCUGGUGGAUUUGAACCACUGACCUUUUGGUUAGCAGCCGAGUGCUUAACCACUGUGCCAGUUUUUAUAUAGGAGAUUCUCAAAAGGACCAUUGAGUCCGAAGAAUCAGGUCCUUGUCACAAGAAAAGGAGGGCUGAGAAAUCCUUAAAAAAAAUCAUAUUCACAUCUUCAAGAAUAUCUCACCCUCCCUCUGCCACACACAACCACUUGAGCCAAAGCUGCGUUAAUCCAAGCUUUCCUUUCUAGCCAGGCAAACAAGAAUUCUUAUUUUCUCCAGCCACUGAUGCUGUUCAAAUAAGGCUGUUUCCUACAAAUAUGAUCAAAUAACCAAGAACCGUGGAACAACUGAGAAGGUGAAAAGGGAAGUACCAAACUCAAUAAGCAGAACUAACUAACCCCUGGGCAAACACAAAAAAAACUUUAAAAUAAGCAUAUUUAAUAUCUACAGAGAGAUUCUAGGGCACUCUGAACCUAUAAGAAGUAAAAUACAGAUGGCCACUAAAUACUUAGGAAGAUAUUUAGGAUUUUUCAAAUACAUAAAAGAAGAAGAAGGGGACGGGGAAGCAGCAAUCACAUGACCUCGUGAAGUGCAAGUCAUGCCUCAGUUACCUCAUUUCCUUUCUUGAGAGGUCAUCAGACUGGUAGAAUGGGGAAUGCCAGCAACAUGAUGUGUGUGGAUUCUAGCAAACAAUUUCAUAAAUUGUUUCAUGAUACCCUGUAAACAAAGAAAUUAUGUCCCACCAGUGAUUAAUAGUUAGAACAUCGAGCUAGUAGAAAUUUCAUAACCUAUUUUAGACAUUUCUAAUUUGUUAUUCCCCUAUAGAUUGUAAACUUCUUGAGAGAAGAAACUAUUUUCUGUAUUGCAUUCUAUUGAUUUCCUCUGCCUAGCGCAAUGUUUAGCAAAUGAUAGGUUAUCGAUUAAAAUGUAUUGAAUGAUAAUUAAAUUUAAUGGUGACUAACACAAAAUCUGUGUUUAAAAGUAUGUAUGAGAUAAAAGGAAAGUAGCUUUCUUCUCAGUACAUUUGGGAAAGACAUAGGGGUUUUAGUUGAUUGUCUGUUUAAUGCUGUCAACAUUGUGAUAUGGCAGACAAGAAAGUUGUAAAUAAAUGGCUGUGGUAAAGGACAAAUAGUGUGCAGAAACACAGAAGAGCUGUGGCAGAUUGCAUUUUCCAAAGAUGACCACAACAGUAUCUCCCACCCCACAUGCUCUCUUUACAAUGUGACUUUGACUUUUGUCAUUGCUCCCAUCGAGUGAGGAGUUCUAUGUUUGCUCCCCUUAUAAUUUUGAGUGGUUUUUUUUUUGUUUGUUUUGUUAUAAAGGUGAAUGUGCCACCACAUGACUUCAUAGGCUAGGUCAUAAACAGCAAUACAACAUCCACCUGGUUCUUUUGGGACACUCGCUCUUAAAACCUAGCCACCUUUCCUUGAAAAACCCCAAGAUGCCACAUCAACACCUCCAGGGGAGGGCUCAUUUGACAGCCAGCAUGAAGUGACAGCCAUGUGAGUGAACAAGCUAUUAGAUGAUUCCAGCCUUAGCCAUCAAUGCAGCCCUGGCCUUCAAGUCUCCCCAGCUGAGGCUCCAGUCAUUGUGGAGAAGGGACACGCCAUUCUCCUGUACUAAUUAAAAAUUCCUGACCCACAGAAUUCAUGGCCAUAACAAAUAGUUAUUUUGUGCCUUUAAGACUGAAACAUAAAUACAACAUAAAGAAAAGAAAAAUCCUCACAAAUGGACCAAUAAGCAAAAUCAUGAUAAACCGAGAAAAGAUUGAAGUUGUCAAGGAUUUCAUUUUACUCAGAUCCACAAUCAACACCCGUGGAAGUAGCAGUCAAGAAAUCAAAUCUGCUGUAAAAGACCUCCUUAAAAUGUUAAAAGGUAAAGGUGCCACUUUGAGGACUAAAGUGUGCCUGACCCGACCCAAGCCAUGGUAUUUUCAAUCACCUCAAAUGCAUGCGAGAACUGGACAAUGAAUAAGAAAGACUGAAGAAGAAUUGACACCUUCGAAUUAUGGUGUUGGCAAAGAAUAUUGAAUAUACCAUGGACUGCCAAAAGAAUGAGCAAAUCUGUUUUGGAAGAAGUACAGCCAGGAUGCUCCUUAGAAGCAAAGAUGGAGAGACUAUGUCUCACAUACUUUGACCAUGUUAUCAGGAGGGAUAUCAUGAAGAAGGACAUCAUGCUUGUAGAGGGUCAGUGAAAAAGAGGAAGGCCCUCAACGAGAUGGAUUGACACAGUGGCUACAGCCAUGGGCUCAUGCAUGACAACAAUUGGCCUAGAACCGGGCAGUGUUUCGUUCUGUUGUACGUAGGGUUGCUAUGAGUCAGAACCAACUCGAGGGCACCUAACAACAACAGGAACAACUCAUAUAGCAGUUGGGAGAACAGGGCUUGUCAGAUAUGGAUUGAGUACUGCUGUCACUCACUAUGUAAUUUUGAACAAGUCUCUGAGCCUCAGUUUUUUUCAUUUUUAAUAUGGAGAUAAAAAAUAGUACCUAACUCAUAAAGUUAAAAAAAAAAAAUGAGUUGGCACAGGACUUGGCCUAUAUUGAAUAUUUAAUCAAAGUUGUAGUUUUUACCUUACAAGUAAAGAAAGAGAUUUUAAAGAAAUAGAUGAUUUCCAACUGGACGAGGUGAUCUCUAAAAGAUCCUCCGACUCUAAAAUUCAAGGAUUCUUUGAGUAGAGAAUGUCUUUGAGCCCAGAAAAGAGGUUACAACAUUUCAUACAUUUAACCUCUGCUGUUGGAAAGCAUGUAAUAUAACUAGUGUGCUUUUCUCUAGGAUGAUGGAAGCUGCUUUCGAGUGGUUAAUUGUGCAACUCACUGAUAUUUUUUGAAAGACAUUGGCACACCAUUUUUGAGAUAGUAAAGGGAAAUACCUUCUUGAUUUAUUUCAUAGGUUAGUUUUGAUGAUUAAAUAAUUGUGCCUGAAAAGCCGCUGAAAAUUGAAAAGCUACAUAGAUGUACUAUUUCAUAAUCAGAACCUUUAAAUUCAUUGCUGCCGAGUCGAUUCCUACUCAAAGUGAUCCUAUAAGACAAAGUAGAACUGCCCCACAGGGUUUCCAAGGCUGUAAUCGUUGAGAAAGGAAAGCAGACUGCCACAUCUCUAUCCCACGAAGCUGCUGAUGGGUUCAAAGUCCCGACCUUUCAGUUAGCAGCCAAGCACUUAACCACUGCACCACCAGGGCUCCUUCAGAACCUUUAAUAGUGGCUGCGUAUGAGAAUGGAGCCCUGGUGGCACAGCAGUUAAGCGCUUCACUGCUAACCCAAAGUUGACGCUUUGAACACCAGCCGCUUGGAGAGAAAAAGAUGAGGCAGUCUGCUUCCGUAAAGAUUUACAGCCUUGGAAACCCUAUGAGGCAGUUCUACUCUGUCCUACAGGGUCACUAGGACUCAGAAUCAACUCGACAGCAAUGGGUUCUACAUGAGACUCAAAAUUUUCUCUAAGCAGUGACAUUAGCUAACUUCUUGUUAGUUGUAGGCUAGUUGACUCCAACUCAUGGUGACCUUAUGUAUAAAAAAACAAAUCAAACCAGUUGGCUGUGAAGUAGAUUCAACUCAUAGCAACCUUAUGUAUUUCAGAUUAGAACUGCACGCCAUAGAGUUUUCAAGGUUGUGACCUUUCAGGAGCAGAUAGCCAAGCCUUUCUUCUGAGGCACCUAUGGGUAGGUUGGAACCUUCAGCCUUUCAGUUAGUAGCUGAGUGUUUAACCGCUUUUGCCACCCAGGAAUUAUGUAUAACAGAAUGAAAUGUUGCCUAAUCCUGUGCCAUCUUCAUGACCGAUGACAUGUUUGGAGCUAUUGUUGCAGCUAUUGUAUAAAUAGUAGAGCUUAGUCCCUAAGAACUAUAUACCAGUAAAACCAGUUACCUAGGAGUUGAUUCCAACUAAUGGCAACCCCAUGUAUGUCAGAGUAGAACUGAGCUCCAUAGGAUUUUCAUGACUGUGAUCUUUUGGAAACAGAUUGCCAGGCCUUUCUUCCAAUGUGCCCCUGGGUGGGUUCAAACCACUAACCUUCUGUUAGUAGCCCAGUGCUUAACCAUUUACCCCACCCAGACACUCCUAAGAACUGUAUAUCCAUUACCAUCGCGUCAAUUCCAAUUCAGCAACCGUAUAGGACAGAGAGGAACUGCCGCAUAGGGUUUCCAAGGAUGACUGGUGGAUUCGAACUGCAGACUAUAUAGAAAAAAAGAAAAAAUAAAAAGCCAAAACCCGUUGCCCUCGAGUCCAUUCCAACUCAUAGCUACCCUACUGGACAGAAUAGAACUGCCCCAUAGAGUUUCUAAGGAGCGCCUGACGAAUUCAAACUGCCGAUACUUUGGUCAGCAGCAGUAGCACUUAGCCACUGCUCCACCAGGGUUUUCGCUGACUAUAUAGUAGGUUCAUAUUUAUUAGUAUAGUAGUUAAUAUCCAUUUAACUACUUCAUGAGCAUUUUUGUUUUAUUUACUUACAUAUUCCAAGCUUUUUGUCUUGCCUUUUAAAAAUGAAUAGCCACUCACAGAUAUAAUUAAGACAAGGGUCAAGACCUUUGCACACGUGAAGAUAUCCUGCAUCCUAUGGCUAUUGAAGGAGAGGAAGACCCUCAACGAGAUGAACUGACACAGUGGCUGUAACAAUGGGCUCAAGUGCAGCAAAGAUUGUGAGGCUGGCACAGGAUUGGGUAGUUUUUGGUUCCAUUGUACAUUGUACAUAGGGUUGCUUUGAGUAGGAACCAACCGGACAGCACCUAACAACAAAGAGAUUGGAAUGGUUUGUUAAGCAGCCAUCAAUAACUGUGUUCCUUGCCAGCUGGGACACCUUAGGUACCUUACUUAAGCUGUCUAUACCUUAGUUGCUACAUAAAUAAAGUGAAAAAGUAACAAUCGCUUUAUAGGGUUGUUGUGAAGAUUAAAUAAUGUAAAGCAUAAAGAAGUUCUGCACAGGGUAAUUGUUAUUAUUUUCUGUCCCUCCCUGGCCUAUAAGCUCCUCACCAUUCCCAAAAUCUGGAACACAGUAGGUGUUUAAUUAAAGUUUGAUGAAUAGUCUAUACUAAUGGGUAAAACCAAAAAACCAAACCCAGUGCUGUCGAGUCGAUUCCAACUCAUAGCGACCCUGUAGGACAGAGUAGAACUGUCCCCAUAGAGUUUCCAAGGAGCGCCUGGCGGAUUCAAACUGCCGACCCUUUGGUUAGCAGCUGUAGCACUUAACCACUACACCACCAGCGUUUCCAUACUAAUGGGUAUAUUCUUUAAUUUUCUGAAGAGCCUUUUCCUUUUCUUUAGUAAGUACUUUCUUCCUGAAAUCCUUCUCCCCUGAAAGCGGUAGGAAAGAAAUUGUACGGGGUUGGAGGAACCACUAUUCUUUUCUAGAGAUUUGAUAAUUCCCAGUUAACCACAUCUGGCUCUGAGCACAGCACUUCCCUUUCUUUCCUUCAGAACGCCCCUUGGGUCCAUGCUUUCUGGUUUGUAUUACCGGCAGUCCCGAGUUAUGAACGAAAUCUGUUCCUAAGUCUGUCUUUAAGUCAAAUUUGUAGGUAAAUUAGAACAGGUACAUACGGUUCUUAUCUAGCAUCAGUUAACCAAAUGUUUGUCUUAGUAUAUAGUAUAUAUUUUACCUUUCUAGGAGUCAGAAUCAACUCCACAGCAAUUUUUUUUUUUUUAUGCAUAAGAAACAAUUCUAAACCACACAAUGUUUUCAAGAGUCACAAAGUAUUGUGUGAGUAAGUUAUUACGAACCAUUGUAUUUAACUCAAAAUUUUAAUAUAGUAGGCUUUAUGACAGUCCAUUCUUUUUUUUUAAUUUUUAUUGUACUUUAAGUGAAAGUUCACAAAUCAAGUCAUUAUCUCUCACAAAAACCUAUACACACCUUGCUAUAUACUCCUAGCUGCUCUCCCCCUAAUGAGACAGCACACUCCUUCCCUCCACUCUCUAUUUUUGUGUCUAUUAGGCCAGCUUCUGACCCCCUCUGCCCUCUCAUCUCCCCUCCAGACAGGAGCCGCCCACACAAUCUCAUGUGUCUACUUGAUCCCAGAAGCUCGGUCUUUACCUGUAUCAUUUUCUAUCCCAUAGUCCAGUCCAAUCCCUGUCUGAAGAGGUGGCUUUGGUAAUGGUUCCAGUCUUGGGCUAACAGAAGGUCUGGAGACUAAGACCUCCAGGGUCCAUCUAGUCUCAGUCAGACCAUUAAAUCUGGUCUUUUUACAAAAAUUUGAUUUUUUUUACCCCACUGCUCUCCUGCUCCCUCAGAGGUUCUCUGCUGUGUUCCCUGUCAGGGCAGUCAUCAGUUGUAGCUGGUAACCAUCUAGUUCUUCUGGUCUCAGGCUGAUUUGGUUAGUCUCUGGUUUAUGUGGCCCUUUCUGUCUCUUGGGUUCAUAAUUACCUUGUGUCUUUGGUGUUCUUCAUUCUCCUUUGUGACAGUCCAUUCUUAAGUACGAGUUGUCUAUAAGUCAGACGUAUUCUAAGAACUGCCAUAUAUUUUCCUGAAUGUGGACUUGCCUUGCUUCCUUCUUAUGCAUCCCUCCCCUGUUCAUACCCUGUGGCCUAUUUUGGUGAUACUUGAACAAAAAAUGGUCAUAAGGGAAGGUGAGGAGACAUCUAAUUCAGCCCCAGUUUUCUAGAAUAAGACCUUCUUUAGAGGCAAAAGACCAUUAAAUGGGGAAGAGACAGUCCCUUCAAUAAAUGGUGCUGACAAAACUGGAUGUCCAUCUGUAAAAAAAAAAAAUGAAACAGGACGCAUACCUCACAUCACACACAAAAACUCAGAUUGGAUCAAAGACCUAAAUACAAAAGCUAAAACUAUAAAGAUCAUGGAGGAAAAAAUAGCAACUAUGCUAGGGGCCCUAACAUAUGGCAUAAAUAUAUAAACAUAACUAAAAAUGCACACACAGCCCAAGAUGAACUAGAUAAAUGGGACCUCCUAAAAAUUAAGCACUUAAUGCUCAACAAAAACUCCUCCAGAAGAGCUAGAAGAAAACCUACAGACUGAGAAAAAAAUUUUUUUUUGGCUACUAAAUAUCAGACAAGGGACUAAUCUCUAAAAUUUAUAGAAAACUACAUCUCAAUAAUUAAAGACAAACAAUCCAAUUAAAAAAUGGGCAAAGGAUAUGUACAGACAGUUGACCAAAGAAGAUAUUCAGGUGAGUAACAAACAUGAAGACAUGCUCACGACCAUUUUAGCUAUUAGAGGGAUGCAAAUCAAAACUUCAGUGAGAUACCAUCUCACUCCGACACUACUGGCACUAAUAAAAAAAAAAAAACAGGAAAUAACAAA